GACGAACGCUGGCGGCGUGCUUAACACAUGCAAGUCGAACGGAAAGGCCCUGCUUUUGUGGGGUGCUCGAGUGGCGAACGGGGGAGUAACACGUGAGUAACCUGCCCUUGACUUUGGGGUAACUUCAGGAAACUGGGGCUAAUACCGGAUAGGAGAUCCUGCUGCAUGGUGGGGGUUGGAAAGUUUCGGCGGUUGGGGAUGGACUCGCGGCUUAUCAGCUUGUUGGUGGGGUAGUGGCUUACCAAGGCUUUGACGGGUAGCCGGCCUGGGAGGGUGACCGGCCACAUUGGGACUGGGAUAGGGCCCAGACUGCUACGGGAGGCAGCAGUGGGGAAUAUUGCACAAUGGGCGGAAGCCUGAUGCAGCAACGUCGCGUGCGGGAUGACGGUCUUCGGGGUGUAAACCGCUUUCGCCUGUGACGCAGCGUGAGUGACGGUAACGGGUAAAGAAGCACCGGCUAACUACGUG
rnacentral:rRNA from 1 species